GCCUGACAAAGGUAGCUCAGUUGGUAGAAUGUGAGACUCUUAAUCUCAGGGUUGUGGAUUCGAGCUCCACGGUGGGCA